rnacentral:rRNA from 1 species
UACGGGGGGGGCAAGCGUUGUUCGGAAUUACUGGGCGUAAAGGGCCAGUAGGCGGCCAACUAAGUCGGAUGUGAAAUCCCCAGGCUUAACCUGGGAACUGCAUCCGAUACUGGAUGGCUUGAAUUCGGGAGAGGGAUGCAGAAUUCCUGGUGUAGCGGUGAAAUGCGCAGAUAUCAGGAGGAACACCGGUGGCGAAGGCGGGUCUCUGGGCCGAUACUGACGCUGGAGGAGCGAAAGCGUGGGGAGCAAACAGG